rnacentral:rRNA from 1 species
GACGAACGCUGGCGGCGUGCUUAACACAUGCAAGUCGAACGGAGAGGCUCUGAUUUUGUGGGGGGCUUGAUUGGCGAAGGGGUGAGUGACACGUGAGUAACCUCGCCUUGACAUUCGGAUAUCGUCAGGGAAAUGGGGCUAAUAACGGAAAGGAGAUCCUGCAGCAUAGUGGGGGUAGGCAAGUUGCGGCGGUUGGGGAUGGACUCGCGGCUUAUCAGCUUGUUGGUGGGGUAGUGGCUUGCCAGGGCAUAGACGGGUAGCCGGCCUGAGAGGGUGACCGGGGACAUUGGGACUGAGAGACGGCCCAGGCUCCGACGGUAGGCAGCGGUGGGGAAUAUGACACAAUGAGCGGGAGCCAGAGGCAGCAGCUCCGCGUGCGGGAUAACUGGCUUCGAGUUGGGAACCGCUGUCGCCUUUGACGAGGAGAGAGUGACGGUAAUGGGUAAAGAAGCACCGGCUAACUACGUG